rnacentral:lncRNA from 1 species
UAAUGGAUUGUUGUUUCCACUGCAUUUGUUGAUCUAAAACUUGUUGUCUAUUGUAUUCUAUUAGAUUUUUUCCCUGUUGAAGACUAACGAUAAUUUGUUGUAUAUUAUCUUAGUCAUAAUAUUCUUUACUGGGCUAGUUGAGCUCACCCUUUUCCUUGUUGUUCAAUUUUCUUCUCAGGAGGUGAGAACAUAGCAGGAUCGAGUCGGGGUAUGGAAUGAAG